CACUUACUAUUUUACAACCAAUUAGACUUUCGAUUAUUCUAAUGGCGGCAUCUUUGAGCGAUUGAAAUGCAUAUCGUUCCGCUAUUAAAAGCAAGAUACGGCAGUUUUCUGGACACACACAAAGCGACAAUUAGCUGUUCUUCGAUGGCAUAUUUCAACUGACUUGAAUGCUUGGAAUUCGUUAAAAUCUGCACUAUAUUUUCAACCCCGGACUCAUCACUCUCUCUUUUAGCUUCACCAAAGAUGAUUUCUUUGUUAUAUAAGCUGUCUUUUCGAUUUAUAUCAUGUGAUUUUCCUGAAGAAAUCUUGUUUUUGUUUAAUAUGUCAC
rnacentral:lncRNA from 1 species